UGCAAGUCGAACGAUGAUCCUCACUUGUGGGGGGAUUAGUGGCGAACGGGUGAGUAACACGUGAGUAACCUGCCCUUAACUCUGGGAUAAGCCUGGGAAACUGGGUCUAAUACCGGAUAUGACUCCUCAUCGCAUGGUGGGGGGUGGAAAGCUUUUUUGGGGUUUUGAAGGGCC
rnacentral:rRNA from 1 species